AAUGGGGUGUCCUGGUGUGAAU
rnacentral:miRNA from 1 species